rnacentral:rRNA from 1 species
AGAGUUUGAUCCUGGCUCAGAGUGAACGCUGGCGGCAGGCCUAACACAUGCAAGUCGAGCGGCAGCACAGGUAGCAAUACCGGGUGGCGAGCGGCGGACGGGUGAGGAAUACAUCGGAAUCUGCCUUGUUGUGGGGGAUAACGUAGGGAAACUUACCCUAAUACCGCAUAAGAACCGUAAGGUGAAAGCGGGGGAUCGCAAGACCUCGCCGCGCGACAAGAAUGAACCGCAUGUUCGGAAUAUAGACCCAGAUUUGGGUGUAGAGGUAUAAAGGGGCCCCCCCCCCAGGGGCCGAACCGAAUCCCGUAAGCCUGGGUUCUUGAAGAAGGAAUGAAUUCAGCCCACACCUGGAAAACUGAGAACACGGGUCCAGAACUCCUACGGGGAGGCAGCAGUGGGGGAAUAUAGGACAAUGGGCGCAAGCCCUGAAUCCAGCCCAU